rnacentral:rRNA from 1 species
UGAGGAAUAUUGGUCAAUGGACGAAAGUCUGAACCAGCCAUGCCGCGUGCAGGAUGACAGCUCUAUGAGUUGUAAACUGCUUUUAUAUAGGAAGAAAUCCUUCUACGUG